CUCUGGUCACUCUGGAUAUCUAACUUCGAACCGUAAUCCGGUUCAGGGACAGUGCCUGGUGGGUAGUUUAACUGGGGCGGUUGCCUCCUAAAGAGUAACGGAGGCGCCCAAAGGUUCCCUCAACCUGGUUGGUAAUCAGGUGUCGAGUGUAAGUGCACAAGGGAGCUUGACUGUGAGACUGACAAGUCGAGCAGGGACGAAAGUCGGGACUAGUGAUCCGGCAGUGGCUUGUGGAAGCGCUGUCGCUCAACGGAUAAAAGGUACCUCGGGGAUAACAGGCUGAUCUUGCCCAAGAGUCCAUAUCGACGGCAUGGUUUGGCACCUCGAUGUCGGCUCGUCGCAUCCUGGGGCUGGAGUAGGUCCCAAGGGUUGGGCUGUUCGCCCAUUAAAGCGGUACGCGAGCUGGGUUUAGAACGUCGUGAGACAGUUCGGUCCCUAUCCGCUGCGCGCGUAGGAAAUUUGAGAAGAUCUAUCCCUAGUACGAGAGGACCGGGAUGGACGAACCUCUGGUGUGUCAGUUGUUCCGCCAGGAGCACCGCUGAUUAGCUACGUUCGGAACGGAUAACCGCUGAAAGCAUCUAAGCGGGAAGCCGGCUUCGAGAUGAGAUUUCCAUCCCUUUUAGGGUGAAGGCUCCCGGCUAGACUACCGGGUUGAUAGGCAGGAUGUGGAAGCGAGGACUAAAGACUCGUGGAGCUGACCUGUACUAAUAAGCCGAUAUCUUGAAAAC
rnacentral:rRNA from 1 species